rnacentral:lncRNA from 1 species
CAGGUUGCCUUUGAUCAUGGUGCUCACCAUAGCAAUAGAAGCCCUAACUAAGACAGGAGGGGGUAUGUAUUCACAUGCUGCUGCUUACUGGCUGUUCUUCAGAGUGGCUACCCAAAGGAACCUCUCAGGAAUAGUGAAAUGACACCAACUGUUAGCAUGGCUGGUGAGACACACCAGCUUCCCAGCUGCUGAUUUCUGUCUUCAGGUGGGUAAAGCUCAGAACGAACGAUGACUUCACAACAGUGGAAGACUAAUCAAAUCCCCCACUCUCAUUCACAGGGUCUGGCUUAGGAUAGCCUGGGCUCCCCUACAACCUCAAGGUGCACAGUCCUAUCUUUCCAAACAGUUCCCACCUGCCAACUUGGGGCUCCCAGAGUCUCAGCAGAACCCCCACCCAGCUCCCCACAGAGCUCUGCCUUGUGUGACUGAGACAUCUCCACCACGCACCGCCUACUCCACCCCACUGAAGACUAACAGCUGCAGUGUCGGGCCUUCUACAUUAAUGACAGAUAAGAGCCAUCAAUCAAGCAUUUUGACAGCGAUGAGCAAAGGGAAUAAUGUACGCCACGAGUCUUCAGCCCAUGUUGGAACCUGGAGAGACUCGAGUCUAGUGGCAGGGAUGAGGCGUCGCCAGCAGCUACAGAGAUGUCCGGCUAAUCACCGCAGGAUGGCUUGGCCUCAGUGGAGAAUGUCUUGUAGUUUACAUAACAACAGACCUAGGCCCUGGCUGUGCCUGCACCUAUUCUGAGAACUUGCUUACGUGCCUAGAGACUGUUGAGUGCCUCUGGAAUCAAAAGAAAUUUUUGAUAUCUGCUUUAUACAUGAUAAUAGAUGUCUUUUGCGGUCACCCCCACUGCUGGAAAGCUAUUUAAGAGGAUGCUUUGAAUAAACUGGAGACACCAGUUUCCACCAUGGAUUGAGAGCCCUCCUGAAAUGACAAGAUGUCCGUGUCUCGUCUUAAUCGCCGUUGGGUAGCUACGAGUUUCCCGGUCCAGCACCCCCUGACUCGGGUAUGGACCUGGUGCCAUUGGGCUGGCUCCGAUCUCAGCCCCAAAGACUUCAGUCCAGAAUAGAUAGCCUCUGUAGCAUGGGAGUGAUACAAGCCAGGCCUCGGCAGGAAGCCAUUAUUCCCACAGCCCCAGCCACUCCUGGGCCAUCCCUGCAUAAAAUGUAAUCCUGGGCAGGAGACAUCAUGUCAGGAGAGCCAGGGAGGCCUCGGAGGCUCCUGCAGACUUCAGGCUCUACUGUCACACAGCUGCCAUUCACACCUACACAUCUCCAGGAGCAGCAGCAGCCUGGUGGCCCACAGGAACAGAUGGACCUCUGCGGUGGGAUUGUUGUCUUCUUGUGGAACAGAUCCUCAGCUCUAGGCCUGUGGAUGUCCUAGAGUCUCCUGGGACCAGAGAGACAAGGGAAGUUCAUUAGGGGUGGAGCAGGGACAUUGUGG